UACAGAGGGGGCAAGCGUUGUUCGGAAUUACUGGGCGUAAAGGGCGCGUAGGCGGCCUGCUAAGUCGGACGUGAAAUCCCCGGGCUCAACCCGGGAACUGCGUCCGAUACUGGUUGGCUUGAAUCCGGGAGAGGGAUGCGGAAUUCCAGGUGUAGCGGUGAAAUGCGUAGAGAUCGGGAGGAACACCGGCGGCGAAGGCGGCUGCCUGGACCAGUCCUGACGCUGAGGCGCGAAAGCUAGGGGAGCAAACAGG
rnacentral:rRNA from 1 species